AACAUCCCGUUGCCACACACUGACGCACGCAGCUCCCGCCCCCACUCAGCUGGCCAUUUCCCGAGUAUAAUUAGAUCGUAAUUUUCAUUAGAUCAACAUUCAAUAUUUACUUUAUCAUGAAUACAUAAACGCUACCCACAGCCAAGUCGAGAUCAUCCCUGGAUCUUCUGGCUGGGCCAGUCUGCACUGGUUGUUCCCAGGGUCUGUUACAAAGCUGGUGGCUUGAGAUCUCCCUUUACUAUGUUAUUGGAGCUUCCCGUUCCCUUGUUUCGGGGUCCUCUUUGUGCUGGGUGACAUGUCUUCCUUCUUGGUGGAGCAUAUCCUUUGCAGUGGAAUCCUGAGACAGUGCAUGACAGACAAAAUAUGGACACAUGGCACAUAUCUGAAAAUGUCUCCAUUCUGCCCUCACAUUUGAUUGGGAGUUUAGGUGAGUAGAAAAUUCUACCUCGGAAGUAGCUGGCCUUUCUCCAUUGUCUUCUAGCUUCCAGUGCUAUUCUGAUUCCUUGGUAUGAAACUUGUUUAUUUUCUCCGGAACCUUGUAGGAUCCUCUCUUUGUUGCUAAUAUGCUGAAAUGUCAUAAUUUACUUUCUUUGGGUGUUGGUUUUCUUCAUUGAUUAUUCUGGGCACUUAAUGGGCUCUUUCAUUCUGGAAACUCACGUCUAAGACUAGGAAAAUGUUCAUGAAUUAUACCUUUGAUCAGUUGAUUUUUUAGAUAUAUUUUUUAAAAAUAGAGACAGGGUCUCACUAUGUUGCCCAGGCUGGUCUCAAACUCCUGGACUCAAGUAAUCCUCC
rnacentral:lncRNA from 1 species